UGGGGAAUAUUGCACAAUGGGGGAAACCCUGAUGCAGCGACGCCGCGUGAGUGAAGAAGUAUUUCGGUAUGUAAAGCUCUAUCAGCAGGGAAGAUAAUGACGGUACCUGACUAAGAACGCCCCGGCUAACUACGUGCC
rnacentral:rRNA from 1 species